rnacentral:other from 1 species
AUGGAGCUGCCUGGUUUGUCAGGCAAUUCAACCCCUGGGCCGAUAAGCACUUCCUAGGGAGCUGGCUCUGUCGUAACCCUGGUUACGGUAUCUGGCGCCCACCUGUCUAAGCAGGUCCUGGAGGUCGACAAGUCCAACGGCCAUGGUGGCUCCGCU